rnacentral:misc_RNA from 1 species
GAUGAAGAACGUAGCGAAAUGCGAUACGUAAUGUGAAUUGCAGAAUUCAGUGAAUCAUCGAAUCUUUGAACGCAUAUUGCGCUCUCUGGUAUUCCGGAGAGCAUGCUUGUUUGAGUAUCAGUAAACACCUCAACUCUUUUUUCUUUUUUGAAAUUGGAGCUGGACUCGAGUGAUCCCAACGCUUUCUUCCAAGAAAGUGGCGGGUUGCUUGAAAUGCAGGUGCAGCUGAACUUUUCUCUGAGCUAUAAGCAUAUCUAUUUAGUCUGCCUAAAAAACAGAUUAUUACCUUUGCUGCAGCUAACAUAAAGGAGACUAGUUCUUGUGCUGACUGAUGCAGGAUUCACAGAGACAGCUUCGGCUGACUUUGUAAACUCGAUCUCAAAUCAAGUAAGACUACCCGCUGAACUUAAGCAUAUCAAUAAGCGGAGGA